rnacentral:rRNA from 1 species
UAGGGAAUCUUCCGCAAUGGACGCAAGUCUGACGGAGCAACGCCGCGUGAGUGAAGAAGGAUUUCGGUUCGUAAAACUAUGUUGUUAGAGAAGAACAGCGCAUAGAGUAACUGUUAUGCGUGUGACGGUAUCUAACCAGAAAGCCACGGCUAACUACGUGCCAGCAGCCGCGGUAAUACGUAGGUGGCAAGCGUUGUCCGGAUUUAUUGGGCGUAAAGCGAGCGCAGGCGGUCAAUUAAGUCUGAUGUGAAAGCCCCCGGCUCAACCGGGGAGGGUCAUUGGAAACUGGUUGACUUGAGUGCAGAAGAGGAGAGUGGAAUUCCAUGUGUAGCGGUGAAAUGCGUAGAUAUAUGGGGGAACACCAGUGGCGAAGGCGACUCUCUGGUCUGUAACUGACGCUGAGGCUCGAAAGCGUGGGUAGCAAACAGG